GUCAAGUAGAGAUGGGAAUCUUAGGCUACGUUCAGACUGCAGGCCUUGAUGCUCAAUUUCGUUUUUUUUGUGAAAUCUGAUUUUUUUGUGAGGUCGUUUUCAUUGCAAUUAAAUGCGACCUGUAUGUGGCCUGCUGUGUGAACGGCUUAACGUCCCAUACUAUCCCACAUGCGCAGAAGAGGAAGAAGAGAAUAAGAAGCAUGCUCAGUGUUUGCGGAAGUAAACAUGGAUGGUAGCAGUAGUGAUGGAAUAUAUCUAGCGAUUUUACAGUUGUUGUCCAGCCGGAGCCAGCACAUUUAUAACGUUAUUUUAAGGAGAAGAUUGAAAAGGA